CGCGGUUGCCAGAAGUGCCUUCCAUGGUGAACGUCUUCCCUGUUCCGGUUUGUCCGUACGCAAAUAUGCAUACGUUGUAUCCGUCCAAAACGGAAGUUACAAGUGGUGAAGCUUGCGCGAAAACGUCGUCUGGUUAAGGUCUUCUUUGUGGAUGUCGAACCAGUGGUUAAAACUCCGAGAACUCCAUCUGAAGCUGUAUUGAAGUCUACUACCGUUGAACAACCCGACGAAGCUUCCGAUUUGUUUAAUGGACGACAUCGACAAAAAACUCUUAUGUUUCCUAAAAGGAAUUGAAGAAAUCAGUAUGCGAUAGUAUGGUAUUUGUAAAUUACAGUCGUAUUUGGUGAGAAAUUCAUAUAAACUUCUAUAAAUCUGUUAGUGAAGCCCGAUAAGAACACACCAAAGAGAUUGAUGAACACAAUGUUAUUGUGGUGUGUACCUUUUGCAUCUUCAACUUGAUUAUGAAGCUUUCUUCUUUUC